rnacentral:rRNA from 1 species
GGGUUGUGAGGUUAAGCGACUAAGCGUACACGGUGGAUGCCCUGGCAGUCAGAGGCGAUGAAGGACGUGCUAAUCUGCGAAAAGCGUCGGUAAGGUGAUAUGAACCGUUAUAACCGGCGAUGUCCGAAUGGGGAAACCCAGUGCAAUUCGUUGCACUAUCGUUAACUGAAUACAUAGGUUAACGAGGCGAACCGGGGGAACUGAAACAUCUAAGUACCCCGAGGAAAAGAAAUCAACCGAGAUUCCCCCAGUAGCGGCGAGCGAACGGGGAGCAGCCCAGAGUCUGAAUCAGCUUGUGUGUUAGUGGAACGGUCUGGAAAGUCCGACGGUACAGGGUGAUAGUCCCGUACACCAAAAUGCACAGGUUGUGAACUCGAAGAGUAGGGCGGGACACGUGGUAUCCUGUCUGAAUAUGGGGGGACCAUCCUCCAAGGCUAAAUACUCCUGACUGACCGAUAGUGAACCAGUACCGUGAGGGAAAGGCGAAAAGAACCCCGGCGAGGGGAGUGAAAAAGAACCUGAAACCGUGUACGUACAAGCAGUGGGAGCACCUUCGGGUGUGACUGCGUACCUUUUGUAUAAUGGGUCAGCGACUUAUAUUCUGUAGCAAGGUUAACCGUAUAGGGGAGCCGCAGGGAAACCGAGUCUUAACUGGGCGUUAAGUUGCAGGGUAUAGACCCGAAACCCGGUGAUCUAGCCAUGGGCAGGUUGAAGGUUGGGUAACACUAACUGGAGGACCGAACCGACUAAUGUUGAAAAAUUAGCGGAUGACUUGUGGCUGGGGGUGAAAGGCCAAUCAAACCGGGAGAUAGCUGGUUCUCCCCGAAAGCUAUUUAGGUAGCGCCUCGUGAAUUCAUCUUCGGGGGUAGAGCACUGUUUCGGCUAGGGGGUCAUCCCGACUUACCAACCCGAUGCAAACUACGAAUACCGAAGAAUGUUAUCACGGGAGACACACGGCGGGUGCUAACGUCCGUCGUGAAGAGGGAAACAACCCAGACCGCCAGCUAAGGUCCCAAAGUCAUGGUUAAGUGGGAAACGAUGUGGGAAGGCACAGACAGCCAGGAUGUUGGCUUAGAAGCAGCCAUCAUUUAAAGAAAGCGUAAUAGCUCACUGGUCGAGUCGGCCUGCGCGGAAGAUGUAACGGGGCUAAACCAUGCACCGAAGCUGCGGCAGCGACACUAUGUGUUGUUGGGUAGGGGAGCGUUCUGUAAGCCUGCGAAGGUGUGCUGUGAGGCAUGCUGGAGGUAUCAGAAGUGCGAAUGCUGACAUAAGUAACGAUAAAGCGGGUGAAAAGCCCGCUCGCCGGAAGACCAAGGGUUCCUGUCCAACGUUAAUCGGGGCAGGGUGAGUCGACCCCUAAGGCGAGGCCGAAAGGCGUAGUCGAUGGGAAACAGGUUAAUAUUCCUGUACUUGGUGUUACUGCGAAGGGGGGACGGAGAAGGCUAUGUUAGCCGGGCGACGGUUGUCCCGGUUUAAGCAUGUAGGCUGGUUGUCCAGGCAAAUCCGGAUAAUCAAGGCUGAGGUGUGAUGACGAGGCACUACGGUGCUGAAGUAACAAAUGCCCUGCUUCCAGGAAAAGCCUCUAAGCAUCAGGUAACAUCAAAUCGUACCCCAAACCGACACAGGUGGUCAGGUAGAGAAUACCAAGGCGCUUGAGAGAACUCGGGUGAAGGAACUAGGCAAAAUGGUGCCGUAACUUCGGGAGAAGGCACGCUGGUGUGUAGGUGAAGUCCCUGCGGAUGGAGCUGAGACCAGUCGAAGAUACCAGCUGGCUGCAACUGUUUAUUAAAAACACAGCACUGUGCAAACACGAAAGUGGACGUAUACGGUGUGACGCCUGCCCGGUGCCGGAAGGUUAAUUGAUGGGGUUAUCCGUAAGGAGAAGCUCUUGAUCGAAGCCCCGGUAAACGGCGGCCGUAACUAUAACGGUCCUAAGGUAGCGAAAUUCCUUGUCGGGUAAGUUCCGACCUGCACGAAUGGCGUAAUGAUGGCCAGGCUGUCUCCACCCGAGACUCAGUGAAAUUGAACUCGCUGUGAAGAUGCAGUGUACCCGCGGCAAGACGGAAAGACCCCGUGAACCUUUACUAUAGCUUGACACUGAACAUUGAGCCUUGAUGUGUAGGAUAGGUGGGAGGCUUUGAAGCGUGGACGCCAGUCUGCGUGGAGCCAACCUUGAAAUACCACCCUUUAAUGUUUGAUGUUCUAACGUUGGCCCCUUACCGGGGUUGCGGACAGUGUCUGGUGGGUAGUUUGACUGGGGCGGUCUCCUCCCAAAGCGUAACGGAGGAGCACGAAGGUUAGCUAAUCCUGGUCGGACAUCAGGAGGUUAGUGCAAUGGCAUAAGCUAGCUUGACUGCGAGCGUGACGGCGCGAGCAGGUGCGAAAGCAGGUCAUAGUGAUCCGGUGGUUCUGAAUGGAAGGGCCAUCGCUCAACGGAUAAAAGGUACUCCGGGGAUAACAGGCUGAUACCGCCCAAGAGUUCAUAUCGACGGCGGUGUUUGGCACCUCGAUGUCGGCUCAUCACAUCCUGGGGCUGAAGUAGGUCCCAAGGGUAUGGCUGUUCGCCAUUUAAAGUGGUACGCGAGCUGGGUUUAGAACGUCGUGAGACAGUUCGGUCCCUAUCUGCCGUGGGCGCUGGAGAAUUGAGGGGGGCUGCUCCUAGUACGAGAGGACCGGAGUGGACGCAUCACUGGUGUUCGGGUUGUCAUGCCAAUGGCACUGCCCGGUAGCUAAAUGCGGAAGAGAUAAGUGCUGAAAGCAUCUAAGCACGAAACUUGCCCCGAGAUGAGUUCUCCCUGAGACUUUAAGUCUCCUGAAGGAACGUUGAAGACGACGACGUUGAUAGGCCGGGUGUGUAAGCGCAGCGAUGCGUUGAGCUAACCGGUACUAAUGAACCGUGAGGCUUAACCUUACAACGCCGAAG